GGAGUCUGGGCCGUGUCUCAGUCCCAGUGUGGCUGAUCAUCCUCUCAGACCAGCUAUGGAUCGUCUCCUUGGUGAGCCUUUACCUCACCAACUAGCUAAUCCAACGCGGGCCGAUCCUUUGCCGAUAAAUCUUUCCCCCGAAGGGCACAUACGGUAUUAGCACAAGUUUCCCUGAGUUAUUCCGUAGCAAAAGGUACGUUCCCACGCGUUACUCACCCGUCUGCCGCUCCCCUUGCGGGGCGCUCGACUUGCAUGUGUUAAGCCUGCCGCCAGCGUCGUUCUGAGCCAUGAUCAAACUACU
rnacentral:rRNA from 1 species